rnacentral:rRNA from 1 species
UUAAAAAGUUAGUUGUUUAAGCAAUUUAAUUUGAAAUUAAAAUUUUAUUAAUUUUUAUUAUAUAGUUUAUAUUAAAUUAAAAAAAAAUUUUUUUAUUAUAUGUAAGAAAAAAUUUAUUUUAUUAUAGUUUAUAGUAUUGUGAGAGAAUAAUUUUAUUUGUUAUUAAGAAAAAUUUAUUUUUUGUACCUUGUGUAUCAGGGUUUAUUAAUUAAAAAUUAUUAAUUUAAUAAUCUCGAAUUUAAAAGAUUUAAAAAAAUAUAAUUUUUAUUGUUAAAUAAAUAUAUUUAAUAUUUUUUUUGUAAUGAAAUGUUAUUCGUUUUUAAAUAUAUCUAGUUUUUUAAGAAAUAAAUUGAAUUUUAUUUAUUAUUAAUAUAUUUUUAUAUCUAUAAUUAUAUAUUUAUUAAUAGGGAAUAUUUUUAGGGAUGAGCUUAAAAAUAAAUUAUUAUUAGAGUUUUAUAAAAAAAUAUAAAAUUAGGAUUAGAAAUUUUCACAUUUUAAUGUAUGUUAUUAUUUAUUUUUUAUGAUAUAUUAUUUAUAUUUGCUAUAGAUUUUUUAUUAAAAUAAAAAUUUUAAUUGAAAAAAUUUUGUAAUAAUGAUAGAAUUAGUAUAAUAUUUUAUUUAAGUAAAAUUAAAUUUGAGGUUAAAUAAAGGAAUUCGGCAAAUUUUUUUUCACCUGUUUAUUAAAAACAUGUCUUUUUGUUUUAGAUUUAAAGUCUGGCCUGCCCACUGAUUAAUUGAAUGGCCGCGGUAUUUUGACCGUGCUAAGGUAGCAUAAUCAUUAGUUUUUUAAUUGAAAGCUGGAAUGAAGGGUUGCAUGAGAAAAAGGCUGUCUCUAUUUAAAUUUUUUAGAAUUUUAUUUUUAAGUUAAAAAGCUUAAAUUUUAUUAAAAGACGAGAAGACCCUAUAGAGUUUAAUAGAUUUAUUAAUUUUUUAUUUAGAAUUUAAUUAAUUGGUAAAAUAUAUUUAUUUGAUUGGGGUGAUUAGAAAAUUUAAUUAACUUUUCUUAAUUUUUAUAUUUAUAUAUAGUUAUAUGAUCCGAUAAAAAUUUGAUUAUAAGAAAAAUUACCUUAGGGAUAACAGCGUAAUUUUAUUAGAGAGUUCAAAUCGAUAAUAAAGAUUGCGACCUCGAUGUUGGAUUAAAGUUUAUAAUUGGUGUAGAAGCUGUAUUAUUAAGUCUGUUCGACUUUUAAAAUUUUACAUGAUCUGAGUUUAAACCGGUGUAAGCCAGGUUGGUUUCUAUCUUUAAUUUGUUAAUAUAUUUUAGUACGAAAGGACCAAUUAUA